UACAGAGGGUGCGAGCGUUAAUCGGAAUUACUGGGCGUAAAGCGCGCGUAGGCGGCUUUGCAAGUCGGGUGUGGAAUCCCCAGGCUUAACCUGGGAACUGCAUUCGAGACUGCAUUGCUAGAGUAUGGGAGAGGGAAGUGGAAUUUCCGGUGUAGCGGUGAAAUGCGUAGAUAUCGGAAGGAACAUCAGUGGCGAAAGCGACUUCCUGGACCAAUACUGACGCUCAUGGACGAAAGCUAGGGGAGCGAAUGGG
rnacentral:rRNA from 1 species